CACCCCCAUCCUGGCUUUAGCAGCUUGCUUCAUCACCUCCUGCCCAAUAUAGAUUCACAAAGCCACCACCUUCUGACUCAAGGAUUAUAGAGUUUCUCAAAAUAAGUUGCACUGAACAACUGCUGUACUCAGAAACAGACUGAGUGGAAAUUCCAAGGGCCUGGGACAAGGUUCCUAUUCCCUUAUGCUUAAGCUCCUGCCCCUGUGCCCCCAUAGGAGCCUCACCAGGAAGCAAAUAGAAAGAACAAGUUUUUCCAACCCUGAUUUCCAUUUUUGCAUCAAAGAGAAGUUGGUCUAGGUCAAUACACUUAAGCCCUUUUAUAAUAGUGAAACUCUGCAAAUACAGUCUCCUAUAAGUUCAUGAAUAUAACUGGCCAAACUCAGCAGCUGUGAUUGAAUUGUGAAGCAGGGAGAGGUGUGUGGCUGGGCCGCACUCCCUCUGUCCCAUCUCUGUCUCUCUCUUUUGUGGGCCUGGAUGAGCUAUAAGAAUUCCUUCUGUCAUAGCUCAAGCAGAGCAGUGUGAGGCUCAGAAAGCCCCAGCAGAAUGGGACAUGCUGAACAGAGCCAGGACCUGAUAAUAAACUGCACAUGGGCAGGUCUUCCCACCUCAUGUAGCAUUGCACAAUGGGAGCCAGGCCACCCUGAGCAUUCAAGCCUGUGAGUGUGUGUCUUGGUGUGUGUGGGGGUGCCAGAUGGCUUCAGCUGAGAGGAGAGAAGCCUUCAAGGCCAGGAACCCAGGUAGGGCCAGAGACCAUGAGCAGUUUGGUGUGGCCAGAGCAAAACUAAAUAGAUAGGAAGCCAUGAAGGAUCCAGCUAAUGGAUCCUUGAAGGUCAGUAUGGGAGGUCUGGACUCAAUCGAAUGGGCAAUAGGGAACCUCUGUAACUCUCUGAGCAGGAGAAUAUCUCCUGAAAGGACCUCCAAAGAAUAAAGUCUGUGCUCACAUAUAAUCAGCUCUACAGAGGCACAUGUCUGGAAUAUAAAAACCUUUAAAGAGUACCUCACGGUGUCUCUUGAAUUCCUCCCUUUCUUUGUGUUGUCACUGCCCUGUCUAAGUUUCGAUGCCCCAAACAUUCCACCUAGGCUUUUGCUCAGCCUUCUUCCUGGUGUGCACCUUCCAUUACCCAAGAUGAGUCCAUCCUCCACACUGAUGCUGUAGUGAUUUUCCUGAAACACAACCUGGUCUAUUAUGGCACUCCCUCCUUCAGCUCCUUCAGUGGAUCAGUGGAGUGAAGUCCAAACUCCUAAGCCUGCCUUUCCAAGUCCUUCACAAAUACACCACAGCCUCCCUUUCCAGCUCAGCCCUUCCCCAGGCCCCAGACCUCCCCACCUCCCUAGCUGACUCACGCUGGGCCUCCCUUACCUCCUCCCAGAGGCUUCUGUUGAAGAUCUUUUAUUCCUUAAGGCCCAGUUCUAAUCUCAUGUCCUUAGAAACCCCUUUUAAGAUCCUCUAGUUUGAAAUAGUCUCUCAAGCCACUAUGUUUGUAUAUCGUGUAUCUAUUCUAGCACUUAUCUGUCUGCCUAGUAUCAGAGUUAUUUAUAAAUGUCUGUUCCUCCUAUUAUGUUGUGUACACUUAGAAAGCAAAAAUAGAGUUAACAAAAGAAAUGCUUGAUGAAUUUCUUGUAUUGGCUAGCAGAGUUUAUAAAAGUUUUUUGGAGUAGUUCUAUAGAUAUUCCAGAAACUAAGAGCAGCCUUCUUGAACCCAGGACAUGCCGAUGUUUCAGGACUCACACAGUUCCUACUCCUUGUUCUAUGGUAGGUGAAGUUAGCACUAGAUAAGAAAUGCCACCCCACAUAAGCCAAGAAUCUCCCACACCCCUCUCAGCCCAGUGUUGUGUCUCACAGUGGAGCCAGGCUGGCGAUUUGGGGAAAGGCAUGGUGUCAAUAUCAAAACAAUAGGACGUCAUCCACCAUACCGCCUUAGUCCCUUUACUUCUACUCCCAAUCUGUCAUCUGAGGCUGACACACUGCUUAGUCUGUGAAGACUCUGGAGGAACACAGGCAUUUAGCAAUGGAGGCAAAUGGUUAUUUAAGAGAAAAAGCAGCCAUUUGAGAUCAUUUAUUGAGAAUGCUUAUAUGUCAGGCUCUGGACCAGAGACUGUGGGUGACACAACCUUGAAAGGUUAAGUGCAAGUCAGGACGGCAUACAGCCGACAGACAGGUUGUGUUCCUGAACCAUGUUCAUUGAAACUUAAAAUGUUUGCUUCAGAGAAACUUAUGAAUAGGAGAGUGAAGCUUCCAGCCUAUUCCAAAGGAGCAGAUGUUAACUCACAAUGUAACUAACUAUAGUACCUUAACACUACAGAACUCAAGCAGCCUUAAAAUCUGAUUCCUAUAGAAAAAGUCAUUCUGUAUUCCAAUACGGAAUGCCAUCUCCUCCAAGUACAGCCCCAGCCACAAGCUUGAAGGUCCUCUCUCCUGCACAGGGCCCCUACAGUGGCAGCCGGUAUACAUGGCAGAGAAGGAGAGUCCCUGAAGUUUCUAGUGUUUAAAGUGGGUGCCUAAGUGACCCUAGCAACAAGGAGGAGAGGGGAGUUCGAAUGCUUCCUUCAGAGAUGCAGCAGAAAGCAUACUGACUCAACUUACCCAAUCAAGAGGGGUCUAAUCUCCUGAGGAGAAUUUCCAAGCUUCAAGGAAGAAAUGUGCUUGCAUGGGACAGCUUCAGAACCUCCCCAGGUGCCUGUCAGAGUGGUGCUGGAAGCCCUUUGGUCUCUCCCCGUAGGGGCUAUAGAGAACAAGGCAUUCUCAGCAGAAGCCCCUCAUGAAACAAGCUGCUUUCCUCCAGCGAGUGUUCUAGCUGCCUUUUUAUAUGCAGUGGAGAGGUACCACACAUGCGAAGGGAUAAUGUGACGGUCCUUUAGAACUUCUCCGGAAAGGAUCUCAGUAGACAUGUGUUGCUGACAUACAGAACUCCUUGAAGACAAGGACCAUGACUUAUUUGCCAUUAUAAUCCCACACAGUGUUUGGCAUAUGGUAGUUGGUGCAGGGAAACAGAGCACACUGCACCCAGGAGCAAGGAGACCACUGCAGAGCCCCAAGAGCAGGAAAAGCUGGAGACCAGCAACAUCCACUGCUCAGACAGUGUGGGAAGCACAAGUGUCUUGGGCAAAGGACCUCAGAACAGGAGCUCAGGGGGACCAUGCGAUGACUGAUGGAGGAAGCUGAAGGAAAGCGCGCUGGACAGGAAUAAAACAUAAAGAUGGCUUCUGAUCCUGGAGGCGAGGUCUUUCUAUCAAGGGGGCAUCGAGGGUCAGACUCUUACUCCACUGACACAUGAGGGCACAUCAUUGAUGCUCUGGGCUGGGGUGAGGAUGCAUGUGGUUUGGUGGAGACCUAAGAAAGAAAGGGAAAUCAAGGAAAAGACACAGAAAGACUCCCAAUUGUGUAGGGGACACACUAGCCUCUUGAGAUUUCCCUGGUCUCCUCUCCUGUAAUACCUGGUGCCUCGAUGACUCCACCAAGGAAUAACAAACACUUAGAUAUAGUUGUUCUGUCCUGGUCAAACUUGUGGCCAGAGUUGCCCUCAAAGGCGUCAGCUGAGGAGUUCCUACAAGAUACUUUCCCAAAUCGUCCUGGGAGGAGGGAGGUUGGGAUGCCAAAGAAAGAAGGAAGCUCUAAAUGCCAGGGUGAUAGAUCCAAAGCAUUUGCUGUAUUAGGGUAACUUCCAUACAGCAUCCUUACAAAGGAACAGUGAGACAAGGGAUGCUCUAUCUAGGUAUGUCCACAAUGAGGGGGUCGGGGUAUGGAGUUAAUAUGAGGACUUAAAGAAUUUGGCUCAGGUCUGGGGCUAGUUUCUUUCAGUGUUUUGGGCAAAAACACCUUUAUCAGUGCCUGGGAAUGUUCAAGGCCCCAGUUUGAGUUCAAGCCUGCAGGGAAAACACUCACUGGCCAGGUCACAGCGCAGUGAAGGCACUCUGUGUUUCUCGGUCAGGACAGACAAAAGGCAGGGGAGCUGGGCAUCCUACGCUAGUGUUUCUUCUAUUCCAGGCACCAGCUUAAACACUUUACAUAAAUACAUAUACAUGUGAAGUGUUUACCUAUAUGUACAUAUAAACUCACUCUUUCCUCAUGACGACCCUGUGAGUAGGUCCUAUUAUUAUCCUCAUUUUAUAGAUAGAGAAACGGAAUCACAGAGAGGUUAAGUAACUUGACCAAAGUCAUACGAUUAGUAAAUAGCAGAACUGGCAUUCAGAUCCAAGCAGUCUGGCUCAGAGUCCAAAUGUGGUAUAUGUACACAAUGGAAUACUAGUUAGCCACACAAACAAAUGAAAUCCUGUCAUUUGCAACAGUAUGGAUGAAAUUGGAGGACACUGUGUUAAGUGAAAUAAGCCAGGCAAAGAAAAACAAAUGCCACAUGAUCCCACUCAUGUGGAAUUUUAAAAAGUUGAGCUCAUAGAAGUAAAGAAUAGAGGUUAUCAGAGGCUAGGGGAAGUGGGGUUUAAGUAGAGAUUGGACAAUGUUUACAAUGUUACAGUUAGAUAAGAGAAAUGAAUUCUGGUGUUCUAAUGCACAGUAGAGUGGCUAUAGUUAACAAUAAUGUGUUGCAUAUUUCAAAAAAGGCUAAAAGAGAGGAAUUUGGAUGUUUUUAUCACAAAGAACUGGUAUGUGGGUGAUGGAUAUCCUAAAUACCCUGAUUGGAUAAUUACACAAUGUGCCCAUGUAUUAAAACAUCACACUGUACUCCAUAAAUAUGUACAAUUAUUAUGUGUCAAUUAAAAAUACAAUAAAAAUUUUUAAAAGAAGAAGGCAUUGAUUUGUAUCAAGUCUUAGAUUUUGGGGAACAUUCUGGUUCAAUACAUACUUCUUUUAGCUAGCCCUCUGUGUUGGCUGCCUAUAAAAUGCUGUUAUUCCUUAUGACUCCAUUCCCUUCUUUUCACCUGUACAUUUUUUUCCUGACUGAUCUCAUCCAUUCUUAUGACUUCAGGUUCUAACCUGGUCCCAAAAACCUUAUUACUAGCAGCUGCCUCCGCUGAGCCCCAGCUGUCUAUAUUGAAUGCCUUCUAGGCAUCUCCUCCUGAACAACUCAUAGUUUAUCAGACUCCAUCACUUUUAGGAAGCCUUCAUCAAGCCCUUCCUCCGAGGCCUACCCUACACCUACCAUCCCCAUACUGGCUAAUAUCCUGUGAUGUAUUUUUAUGUUACUCUGUGCCUAUAAUUUAUUAUUACUGAUAAUAGUCGUGAUGGUUAAUUUCAUGUGACAACUUGAGUGGGCAACGGGGUGUCUAGAUAUUUGUUCAAACAUUAUUCUGAGUGUGUUUGUGAGGAUUGUUAUUGGGUGAGGUUAACAUUUAAAUUGGUAGACUCCAUAAAGCAGAUUUCUCUCUGUAAUGUGGGUGGGCCUCGCCCAAUCAGUUGAAGGCCUGAACAAAAGGUUGACCCUCCCCUGAGUAAGAGAGAAUUCUCCUGCCUGAUGACUUUUGAACUGGUCUAUCAGCUCUUCCUUUCUGGUUCAGACUGCUGGCCUUCAGACUUGACCUGGGACAUUGACUCAGCAGAUGUUGGACUUGUCAGCCUCCAUAAGCACGGUUGCCUUGUGAAAUCAGCAGGAUAUUGCAGAAGUGAUUGUGUUACUUCCAAUGCUAGAUUAUAAAAGACAUUGCAGCUUCUGUCUGGCUUUCUUGGAUUGCUUGUUCUGGGGGAAACCAGCUGCCAUGUCAUGAAGUACCUUCAAGCAUCCCUGGGAGACUCGGUCUAUGUGCAGAGGAACUGAGGCCUCCUGCCAACAGCCAUGUGAAUAAGCCAUAUUGGAAGUGAACCUCCAGCCCCAGUCAAGCCUCCAGGUAAAAAGAUUCUUUUAGGUCUUGUUAUGGAGAGAUAUCUGGAUUGGAUGGACCUCGCCUGGCUUCUGAAGUCAAUAUGCAAGUGUCCAAAGUGGUCAAAACCAGGUAAAGACAGAGAACAACCUGAGGUUUUACCGAGAGGGCAUACCAUAUUCUAUAUCAUCACUCAAUGUCACACUCAAAAUCCCCCCUCCAUUUAUACCCAAACAGUGUUUCUGAAUUGAGCUGGUACACACUUGUCUGUCCCUUUCCUCCAGGUAAAAUGUUUUAGCUUGGUACUUUAAAAGGUAUCCCUCUUACUAGGUACAAUUAUUAAAAUGGGCAAUCAUUAGCUCCAACUGGUCCUGUCUCUUCCUUGAGGGUUAUUAAGCAUGUAUUCAAACAGAGCAAGUGAUGGCCACCCUGAAUACUCUGACAUGCUUUGAUAUGCUUGAGCUCCCUAAACAGGCAGGCUGACUUCUACCAUCCCCUUUGUUCCAUAAACUGAGGGGAGAAUAAUUCUUUUUUUUUUUUUUUCAUUAAGACCUACCUAGGAAAAGUUAGCAGCCUGCUGAUUUUCCCUAAACACCGUGAGUUAUUUUGAAGUCCCCUUAGGUGGCACUGGGGGAGGCUGGCAGAGAAAGGGGCAGAGGGAGUGUUUGGCUCAUGUUUGAGAAUUGUUCUACAAUAAAGAGAUUUUUUAAAAAAUCAGAUUCCUUCUGUAUGUGAUUUUGAUUCAAACACAAAGCUUCUCUUGAAGAAAAAAACCUCCUUAUUGUAUUAACAUUGUGCAUUACCAAGCCUGCAAAUUAAAUUGUAAGAGAAUUGAGAAAAAUAGGGCUAUUAAAAUAUUUGACUUAUUUACAGAAGUUAAAUGAGGAGAAAAAAGACUGUUCCAGCUUCCCCCUACCCCCUAUGCCCUGCUUUGCCAACCCCCUCUGACUCUGACAAGGGAAAUGGUUUUGGAGAUUGGUAUGAGGGGACCUUGGGAACAAGGCCCUGCCAUGGCUGUAAUUAACUGCCAUAUGAACUCUCAGACGAAGUGUGGAGUCUGUCCUCCCUCCUGCCCUACUCCUUUUCAUGACAUUUCAAUUGGAAUCAUUCCAUCCACAGGCACUGAGUUCCUACUAUGUCCAAAGCACUAUGAUUU